rnacentral:rRNA from 1 species
UACGGGGGGGUAAGCGUUGUUCGGAAUUACUGGCGUAAAGGGCUCGUAGGCGGCCAACUAAGUCAUACGUGAAAUCCCUCAGCUUAACUGGGGAACUGCGUGUGAUACUGGAUGGCUUGGAUUUGGGAGAGGGAUGCGGAAUUCCAGGUGUAGCGGUGAAAUGCGUAGAUAUCUGGAGGAACACCGGUGGCGAAGGCGGCAUCCUGGACCAAUAUUGACGCUGAGGAGCGAAAGCCAGGGAGCAAAGCGGA